GUGCCAGCAGCCGCGGUAAUACGGGGGGUGCAAGCGUUACUCGGAAUCACUGGGCGUAAAGAGCAUGUAGGCUGGUUUGUAAGUUGGAAGUGAAAUCCUAUGGCUUAACUAUAGAACUGCUUCCAAAACUGCUUACCUAGAGUAUGGGAGAGGUAGAUGGAAUUUCUGGUGUAGGGGUAAAAUCCGUAGAGAUCAGAAGGAAUACCGAUUGCGAAGGCGAUCUACUGGAACAUUACUGACGCUGAGAUGCGAAAGCGUGGGGAGCAAACAGGAUUAGAUACCCUGGUAGUCCACGCCCUAAACGAUGCACACUAGUUGUUGCUAUGCUAGACAUAGCAGUAAUGCAGUUAACACAGUAAGUGUGCCGCCUGGGGAGUACGGUCGCCAAGAUUAAAAACUCAAAAUGAAUUGGCGG
rnacentral:rRNA from 1 species